AGACGUCUACAUUAGAUACCCGCGUAGUCCCAGCCGUAAACUAUGCGCGCUAGGUGUAUCGGUGACCACGAGUCACCGAGGUGCCGAAGGGAAACCGUGAAACGUGCCGCCUGGGAAGUACGGUCGCAAGGCUGAAACUUAAAGGAAUUGGCGGGGAGCACCACAACGGGUGGAGCCUGCGGUUUAAUUGGACUCAACGCCGGGAAGCUCACCGGAUAAGACAGCGGAAUGAUUGCCGGGCUGAAGACUCUGCAUGACUAGCUG
rnacentral:rRNA from 1 species